rnacentral:rRNA from 1 species
GAUGAACGCUAGCGACAGGCUUAACACAUGCAAGUCGAGGGGCAUCGGGGUGUAGCAAUACACUGCCGGCGACCGGCGCACGGGUGAGUAACGCGUAUGCAACCUACCUAUCAGAGGGGAAUAACCCGGCGAAAGUCGGACUAAUACCGCAUAAAACAGGGGUCCCGCAUGGGAAUAUUUGUUAAAGAUUUAUUGCUGAUAGAUGGGCAUGCGUUCCAUUAGAUAGUUGGUGAGGUAACGGCUCACCAAGUCUGCGAUGGAUAGGGGUUCUGAGAGGAAGGUCCCCCANACUGGUACUGAGACACGGACCAGACUCCUACGGGAGGCAGCAGUGAGGAAUAUUGGUCAAUGGGCGAGAGCCUGAACCAGCCAAGUCGCGUGAAGGAAGAAGGAUCUAUGGUUCGUAAACUUCUUUAUAAGGGAAUAAGUGCGGGACUGUCCUGUUUUGUAUGUACCUUAUGAAUAAGGAUCGGCUAACUCCGUGCCAGCAG